rnacentral:lncRNA from 1 species
AAUGCUAAGGUAAUGGGAAGCAAAUAGGAUUAAAGGAUUGAGCAUUGCAUUUGAAACUGCUCUUACUGCAAACAAGUUCUUUAGCUUGAUCUUUUUGUUUACUUAUAUUAUAUGUAUUUUUUAGAUUGAAGAAAAAGAGUCUCCAUUGGUUCUAUAUUGAUGAGUAAUUCAAUUGUAAAUUAAUAAUUCCCAUUAAUUUUUUUUGUCUUUUGAUUUGUAUUACCCAACAUUAAAUUAUUAGUUAUUGUAUAAUUUAAUAUUUAUAAAUUGUAUAGUAUUUAAUAUUCAGCAUGUGGGUACAAUUAAAAAUAAUUGACAUAAAUUGUGUUAUUGAAUUUGAAAAUUUUAUAAUGU